ACCCGCUACUGGAAGAGGAAGCAGCUGUACUGACAUUCAGAAGUCUGUGGGAAUCUUCUGCUGGGACAUGGAUGCACAUAUGCAAUCACUGCUAAACUGUCUGGUAAAGACCAUCAGCUCGGCCUCUGUAAUACCGGUCUCACGUCUAAGUGAGAAUGGAUGGAAUCAAGUCCAGAGAUAUUCUGUAGUUAUAGUAAUCUACUCGUCACAGACGGGUCCGUCCUCAAUGAAGAGGUUCCUGGACUUCUACUCCAGCAA